AUUGAACGCUGGCGGCAGGCCUAACACAUGCAAGUCGGACGGUAGCACAGAGGAGCUUGCUCCUCGGGUGACGAGUGGCGGACGGGUGAGUAAUGUCUGGGGAUCUGCCCGAUAGAGGGGGAUAACCACUGGAAACGGUGGCUAAUACCGCAUAACGUCGCAAGACCAAAGAGGGGGACCUUCGGGCCUCUCACUAUCGGAUGAACCCAGAUGGGAUUAGCUAGUAGGCGGGGUAACGGCCCACCUAGGCGACGAUCCCUAGCUGGUCUGAGAGGAUGACCAGCCACACUGGAACUGAGACACGGUCCAGACUCCUACGGGAGGCAGCAGUGGGGAAUAUUGCACAAUGGGCGCAAGCCUGAUGCAGCCAUGCCGCGUGUAUGAAGAAGGCCUUCGGGUUGUAAAGUACUUUCAGCGGGGAGGAAGGCGAUAAGGUUAAUAGCCUUGUCGAUUGACGUUACCCGCAGAAGAAGCACCGGCUAACUCCGUGCCAGCAGCCGCCGUAA
rnacentral:rRNA from 1 species